UACGUAGGUGGCAAGCGUUGUCCGGAUUUACUGGGCGUAAAGAGCGCGCAGGCGGCCGAGUAAGUCGAAUGUGAAAUCCCCAGGCUUAACCUGGGAACUGCAUUCGAGACUGCAUUACUAGAGUAUGGGAGAGGGAAGUGGAAUUUCCGGUGUAGCGGUGAAAUGCGUAGAUAUCGGAAGGAACAUCAGUGGCGAAAGCGACUUCCUGGACCAAUACUGACGCUCAUGUGCGAAAGCGUGGGGAGCAAACAGG
rnacentral:rRNA from 1 species